ACAAGACUCCACAUCGGCACAUGCACAAGAACAAACAGCAUCUUAAUCUUGUUCAUAGCUAACUUAUUUUCUCAAAGUUCAUUAGGAAGUUUAUUAUAAUUGUUAUGUAAAACAAAACAAAACAAAAAUAACGGUGAUACAAAUAUCCAUGUGAGUACCCUCCUGCAUGCAUAUCCAAGCUUUAAGAGAUUUCUUUUUUGUUCCAUUAGCUAUUAUUGGUAUGUAAAGUGCGGUCAUUUAAUACAGGUACGAAAGUCACUAAUGUUUAAAUAUAGUCUGUACCUUGCUAAAGUUUCAAAGCGCUGUUGAUUACAAAAAUUACUAUGUAAGAUUUUUUUUCAGUGUAAAUUUGUUUCAAUGUUUCAAAAAGUUACAGUCUUGUUUUUAAUAAUUAAAAUUUAAACAU
rnacentral:misc_RNA from 1 species